UUAGUAGACUUUUUUAAGUUGUUUCAUAUUUGUAGCAUGGGGUUUAAAACAUUUCACCAUUGACCCAUGCUCCAUUUUGUCAAGCAUAUACGUUGCUAGACCUCUUUUUGUAAUAAGCAAAAUUAAAAAUAAGUUAAAUGUUACUGUUGAGAAUCAAGAGAGGAGUGUGGUGAAGAGACAACUCAGUAGUUAGAGCAGAAGACCCAAGUUCAGUUCCCACCACUCAUUUCAGGGAGCUCACAGGCACCUGUAAUUCCAACCUCAGGGGCAUCUUUCACCUCUGGCCUCUAUGAACAUCACACUCAUAUGCACAAACAUACAUACAAACACACACAUAACUUAAAAUAGUAAAAUUAAUCUUUUCUUAAAAAUCAAAAAGUGCCACUCAUGGUGGUAAAUCCCUAUAAUCCCAGCACUUAGGAGGCUGAGUCAAAACUCAGUUCCAGGGCAGCCUGGGCUGUCACUCAGACCCUGUCUCCAAAGCGGAGAAAGGCAAUGAGAUAAGUCAUUAUCUUCAGACUACUGUGUCCUUUCUCUUGCUUUUGUUUCAAGAUAGGCCUUUCAGACUAGCUGCCACUGUGGGUCUUGCAGUUAAGAGAAUGCUUAGCUGCGUCUCUGCCAACAAAUGAUGAGAUAAAAGAGCUCUGGGCAUUCUACACAGAAACUGGUGCCAUGGAAUCCUCUCCUUGGAAAAGCUCUCCUCCACACUUGCAGUGGAACCUCCAGGCAUGCACAUGCGUCUUCCUCACUCACACACGCCUCACAGUGCGGUCAGGGAAGAUACCAGAUUGUAAAGGUAGAUCAGCUCUGAAAGAGUAAGGCUCUGUUUCUUUAAAAUUAAUACUUUUUGUACAAAGUAACUUAAGCUUAAUGCCCAUAACAGAAAGAAAGGCUUAAACUUGGAAGCAUACAGUGGGUGGGGACAUAUUUUCUCUACUUUAAUAGGUUCUUUAUGUGAAUACCCCCAGUUUAAAAAAUACAAAAAAGAACAAAAUAAUCUAUUUCACUUUUGGUUUGGUUUGGUUUGGUUUGGUUGUUUUUACUCACAAGAAGAUAGUAAUUUCUGUGUUCUAAGAUCUCAGUUCCUACCUGAACUGACUUACUUUUAUGACUUAGAAAAUUGAUCACUUUCUAGAUUUAUUAAAUAUGUCAAGGAAAGAAGAUAUAAUUCUAGUUAAAAUCAUUUCUCUGCUGUUUGGUUUGGUUGGUUGGUUGGGUUGGUUGGUUGGUUGGUUGGUUGGGUUGGUUGGUUGGUUGGUUGGUUGGUUGGUUGGUUGGUUUGCUUUGGUUUGGUUGGUUGCUUGGCUGGGCUGGGCUGGGCUGAGCUGGGCUGGGCUGGGCUGUGGAAAGAAUAUGUAUGAAUACAAGGUAUUAUGUAAUUCGUGCCCAAACAGUUGGGUAGGUGUUAGAAUCUUUCUUUCAAAGCACUGAAACCAGGUGCCUGGAUACAUUCAGGGCUUUGAGAGAUCCUUUUUGAAACCUGCCUAGUGGCCCUUUUGUACAGCUUGAACUCCUUAGCUCUGUGUCCUGCAGUGAAGUUGGAGCCAUGCACCUGGCAUCCACAUACCUAGGUCUGAAAAGGCUGGGCAAAGCUAGAUGGGCUGGUAUCAGGGUGAGGUCAGACCCGAACCCUACACAGACCCACAAGAUCAGAUCCAGCUAACUUCACUCUACACCAAAACAUUCACUUUUUACUUACUUAUUUAGAAACAGUUGAAAUAGCUUUUAAAAGAAAACCAAGCCCAUUCUGGUUUUCUCUCACCCCAGAAUGCUUUCAGUUUUCACUUCCUGGGUCAAGCUCAGUUUAACCACUUCACCCCAACAUAAACUUUGGGAAAUACAGAUUCUGAAGCAUCUCACUUUGCCCCGGGGGAGAUGGUGACCCCAGGCCAACUGAUGACCUUGUCAGCCAACUUUUCUAGUUGUAAUUUCUCCCGUGGACCUGCUAGAGCUUGUGGUCCGUGGAAGCAGCUGGAGAAGAAAGGCAGCCGUCUCACGUCUGAGGCUUCUUCCCAGGGGAAUGCGAUUGCCCCACAGACAUCUAUGCAGAGCUCACACACAGGAGAUAGUUUAAUGGGCUCCAGAGAGCUGAUUCAGUGUGACUACUAAAGCUUAUGGAAGUGUAGCAUAGAAAAGGGAUGGGGGAUCCCUCUGUUCCUGUUUGUUUGCCUAGUUGGGCAGUGUGCAGCUAGUUAUCUUGAUCAUAAACAUGGUUCUUCCAUAUUCUAAGGAAUACCUAUGAAAAUGUUUUGUUUUCUGUUUAUAUCUCAGGUUAAGCAAGAAGCUUCAUUAAAGAGGCUUCAUAGGAAGUUAUAUGUGGGAUCCACACAGAAGUUUAUGUUCUUUAUUUAAAUUGAAUCCUUAGUCAGGAAAGGGAAAAGGAAACUUUUAAAAUGCUAGUGGGUGUGGCUGAGCCCCCAGGCUGAACACAGUAAUAAAUGGUGCUGUAGUACUGUAAUUGAUAGUUUUAUUACUAGAUUGGAGUAUGAGCGUUAAUUUUUUAUUUAUAUUCCUUUCAAGAUAUUAAAACUGAUUAAGCAGCUAUCUCUUUAUUAAUAUCCAUCAACUGAGCAUAUGCUCAAAGGAGUCGAUCUAAUCUUCCUUAGUGGGGCAUACUAAUGGCCCUUUAGCUGGAUAGAAAAAAUAAUAGAAACAUUAUUUGCUUAUAGAUUUAUAUUUUAUGACAUAUUCAUGUGAUUCGUGUUUUAAUAGAAGAAUUCAGAAAUGCAGUUAAGCC
rnacentral:lncRNA from 1 species